rnacentral:rRNA from 1 species
GACGAACGCUGGCGGCGUGCUUAACACAUGCAAGUCGAACGGAAAGGCACUGCGUUUGUGGGGUGAUCGAGUGGGGAACGGGUGAGGGAGACGUGAGUAACCUGCCCUUGACUUUGGGGUAACUUCAGGAAACUGGGGCUAAUACCGGAUAGGAGCUCCUGCUGCAUGGAGGGGGUUGGAAAGUCUCGGCGGUUGGGGAUGGACGCGCGGCUUAUGAGCUAGUUGGUGGGGUAGUGGCUUACCAAGGCUUUGACGGGUAGCCGGCCUGAGAGCGUGACCGGCCUCCUUGGUCCUGCGAUACGGACCAGUCUCCUACGUUGGGCAGCAGUGGCGAAUCUGGCCCAGUGGGCGCAAGCCUGAUGCAGCAACGCCGCGUUCGUGAUGACCGCCUUCUGGUUGUAAACCGCUUUCGCCUGUGACGAAGCGUGUGUGACGGUAAUGGGUAAAGAAGCACCGGCUAACUACGUG